UACGUAGGGGGCAAGCGUUGUCCGGAAUCAUUGGGCGUAAAGAGCGCGUAGGCGGUCCGAUAAGUCGGUUGUGAAAACUGGGGGCUCAACCCUCAGAGGCCGACCGAUACUGUCGGGCUAGAGUCCGGAAGAGGCGAGUGGAAUUCCUGGUGUAGCGGUGAAAUGCGCAGAUAUCAGGAGGAACACCAAUGGCGAAGGCGGCCCUCUGGACGGAUACUGACGCUGAGGCGCGAAAGCGUGGGGAUCAAACAGG
rnacentral:rRNA from 1 species